UUAAUUUUGAAGGAUGGCUGUCGUGCUGCUCUGUCUCGGAGCCUUGGGGACCGAGGUGAAAUCCACGUCUUCCAGGUGCUCACAGUUCACGCCGGGGCCAUAGCGAGCAGCACCGAACCAUUCGGUUCUCGAGGUUUGGUUUAAGAGAGCCAGCUCUUUAGACGCGCAUUAUUUACGCCACCGAACUUCUUCCUGGGACCCGGGCUUCCCUGCCCUGACGUACGUGGCCUCUGCCCACGUGGUCCUCAGCAGGUAGCGGGUGGCCCUCGGACGACUCCAGCCCUGGCCCUGUCAGUGCAGCGUGAGGAGCUGGAUUUUUCGCAGCCGCGUUCUAACGGGCCGGGGGAACCCGCGUUUCUCUGGCAUCAUCGUUUUCGUGUAAUCGCUUCUCUGAUGCUAACACAUUUGCAGUGAUAAUUGUGCUUUGGGGGCUCGUUAAAAAACAUUAAAAAGUAAAUUUCUAAGGUAAUUAAUUUUAUGAUAUGUUUACUACAGUGUGGAUAUUAUAAUGUGAAAUUUAACAUAAAUCCACUUCCUCGUCUAUAAAGAAAUAUAUCUAAAUGUAUCGCUAGUAGAUUUUGGAUGAAUAACUCUAUUACACUGCUUAGCGGAACGUAAAGUUCACUGUUGGCGGUUUGGUCUGCUCUGUUUUGUUUUAAGUUCCUAUACUGUAACUGAAUAUUGUUGUUUUUCUCCCAAAUGCAUUUACCUUUUGUGACCGAAGUCUAGGAGAGUAAGUAGUUCAGUAUUUUAAUAAAUUGGAGAAUUUUGCAUGCUUUCCUCA